rnacentral:rRNA from 1 species
UACGGAGGAUCCAAGCGUUAUCCGGAUUUAUUGGGUUUAAAGGGUGCGUAGGCGGCCUGUUAAGUCAGGGGUGAAAGACGGUAGCUUAACUAUCGCAGUGCCCUUGAUACUGAUGGGCUUGAAUGUACUUGAGGUAGGCGGAAUGUGACAAGUAGCGGUGAAAUGCAUAGAUAUUGUCAAGAACACCAAUUGCGAAGGCAGCUUACUAAAUUAUAACUGACGCUGAGGCACGAAAGUGUGGGUAUCAAACAGG